rnacentral:tRNA from 1 species
GCCCGAGUGGCGCAACGGCAGCGCAGCCGAUUUGUAAUCGGCAGGUUGUGGGUUCGAGUCCCGCCUCGGGCUCCA